rnacentral:rRNA from 1 species
CCUACGGGGGGCAGCAGUGGGGAAUAUUGGGCAAUGGGCGCAAGCCUGACCCAGCAACGCCGCGUGAAGGAAGAAGGCUUUCGGGUUGUAAACUUCUUUUAAGAGGGAAGAGCAGAAGACGGUACCUCUUGAAUAAGCCACGGCUAACUACGUGCCAGCAGCCGCGGCAAUACGUAGGUGGCAAGCGUUGUCCGGAUUUACUGGGUGUAAAGGGCGUGUAGCCGGGCUGAGAAGUCAGAUGUGAAAGCCCGUGGCUCACCCACGGAACUGCAUUUGAAACUGUCGGUCUUGAGUAUCGGAGAGGCAGGCGGAAUUCCUAGUGUAGCGGUGAAAUGCGUAGAUAUUAGGAAGAACACCGGUUGCGAAGGCAGCCUGCUGGACGGCAACUGACGGUGAGGCGCGAAAGCGUGGGGAGCAAACAGGAUUAGAUACCCUUGUAGUC